GACGAACGCUGGCGGCGUGCUUAACACAUGCAAGUCGAACGCUGAAGCUCAGCUUUUGUUGGGUGGAUGAGUGGCGAACGGGUGAGUAACACGUGAGUAACCUGCCUCCUUCUUUGGGAUAACGCCCGGAAACGGGUGCUAAUACUGGAUAUUCACUGGUCUUCGCAUGGGGGGUGGUGGAAAGGGCUUUUCUGGUGGGGGAUGGGCUCGCGGCCUAUCAGCUUGUUGGUGGGGUGAUGGCCUACCAAGGCUUUGACGGGUAGCCGGACUGAGAGGGGGACCGGUAAGAUGGGGAGUGAGAUACGGCCGAGACUCCUGCGGGAGGCAGCAGUGGGGAAGAUUGCGCGAUGGGCGCAAGAAUGAUGCAGAGACGCAGCGUGAGGGAUGGAGGCCUUGGGGUUGUGAACCUCUUUGGAUUAUGGUCAAGCCGCAACAAUGGUUGUGGUGAGGGUAGUGGGUAAAGAAGCGCCGGCUAACUACGUG
rnacentral:rRNA from 1 species